UAAUACGGGGGGGGCGAGCGUUGUUCGGAUUUACUGGGCGUAAAGGGCUUGUAGGCGGCGAUCUAUGUCGGUUGUGAAAUCCCCAGGCUCAACCUGGGAACUGCAGCCGAAACUGGGUCACUAGAAGCCGGGAGAGGGAUGCGGAAUUCCAGGUGUAGCGGUGAAAUGCGUAGAUAUCUGGAGGAACACCCGUGGCGAAGGCGGCAUCCUGGACCGGUCUUGACGCUGAGGAGCGAAAGCUAGGGUAGCAAACGGGAUUAGAUACCCCGGUAGUCCUAGCCCUAAACGAUGAAUGCUUGGUGUGGCGGGUAUCGAUCCCUGCCGUGCCGUAGUUAACGCGUUAAGCAUUCCGCCUGGGGAGUACGGUCGCAAGGCUG
rnacentral:rRNA from 1 species